rnacentral:rRNA from 1 species
GUUGCCAGCCGCCGCGGUAAUACGGAGGGAGCUAGCGUUGUUCGGAAUUACUGGGCGUAAAGCGCGCGUAGGCGGUUAUUCAAGUCAGAGGUGAAAGCCCGGGGCUCAACCCCGGAACUGCCUUUGAAACUAGGUAACUAGAAUCAUGGAGAGGUCAGUGGAAUUCCGAGUGUAGAGGUGAAAUUCGUAGAUAUUCGGAAGAACACCAGUGGCGAAGGCGACUGACUGGACAUGUAUUGACGCUGAGGUGCGAAAGCGUGGGGAGCAAACAGGAUUAGAUACCCCGGUAGUCC